rnacentral:rRNA from 1 species
CACGUAGGGGGCGAGCGUUGUCCGGAUUUAUUGGGCGUAAAGAGCUCGUAGGCGGUUCAGUAAGUCGGGUGUGAAAUCUCCGUGCUCAACACGGAGCGGCCACCUGAUACUGCUGUGACUCGAGUCCGGUAGGGGAGUGUGGAAUUCCCGGUGUAGCGGUGAAAUGCGCAGAUAUCGGGAGGAACACCGGCGGCGAAGGCGGUUCUCUGGGCCUUACCUGACGCUGAGGAGCGAAAGCGUGGGGAGCGAACAGG